rnacentral:rRNA from 1 species
CUCAAAUUUAUAAUCUGGCACCUUCGGUGUCCGAGUUGUAAUCUCUAGAAAUGUUUUCCGCGCUGGACCGCACACAAGUCUGUUGGAAUACAGCGGCAUAGUGGUGAGACCCCCGUAUAUGGUGCGGACGCCCAGCGCUUUGUGAUACAUUUUCGAAGAGUCGAGUUGUUUGGGAAUGCAGCUCAAAUUGGGUGGUAAAUUCCAUCUAAAGCUAAAUAUUGGCGAGAGACCGAUAGCGAACAAGUACCGUGAGGGAAAGAUGAAAAGCACUUUGGAAAGAGAGUUAACAGUACGUGAAAUUGUUGGAAGGGAAACGCUUGAAGUCAGACUUGCUUGCCGAGCAAUCGGUUUGCAGGCCAGCAUCAGUUUUCCGGGAUGGAUAAUGGUAGAGAGAAGGUAGCAGUUUCGGCUGUGUUAUAGCUCUCUGCUGGAUACAUCUUGGGGGACUGAGGAACGCAGUGUGCCUUUGGCGGGGGUUUCGACCUCUUCACACUUAGGAUGCUGGUGGAAUGGCUUUAAACGACCCGUCUUGAA